AAGGAUUUAAGUUAACUAAACUAUCAACCUUCAAAGUUGAAAAUAGAAUAAUAUUCUAAGUCUUA